GACCAUCUUUGCCAUUAGAAGCCUAGACUAUUUCCACAAAAUUGAUACUGCCUGAAAGCUCCCCAAAGCCAGUGAUUCUUCUUAUGUCAGGAGAUGAAGAUUCAAGGCAAUGAAAAUCAGCAGAUAAAAAAGGCUGCACUUGGAGUCAACAAUACCUGGAUUCAAGCCCUAUUCCUGACACACCAUUGCUAAUGUAUAAGCAUGGACAAGUAAUCAAAAUGCUGACCUGGAGAAAUCUGGAGGAUUUAGAAAAUCAGAGACAGUAGGAGAAGGUAUGUCAGGCUGUAGAGGAAAUGGCAGGAGCAAAGCUUUCGAAGAAGCAAUGUGCACAAAUGGAUUAGAGGAUGUGAGCUGGCAAUAUUCAGAAAAGAAGGAAAGGUCCAGAGGAUGCUUUAGAAAGAACUUGAUAAUGACCCCCUCAUAUAAGAAGAAACACAGGUAAAACCCACAGAAGACAAUGCUGCUUCCCCAACAGUUCACCAACAACAGGAUGAGAACUUUACUAGCAACACUUUCACUUGGCAUCCCUCAAGGCUGAUGGCAUGCAUUAUAAGCUCCUUGAGGACACAGAUGGAACCAUUUUUUAAAAAUUCUGCACAGGAACUAGCCCAAAGACAUGUGUGUGCAUGUGUGUGUGUGUGUGUGUGUGUGUGUGUGUGUGUAUACACACUUAAUCAUUGUUAAGUGAAGGUAAAGGUGAAUUUCAGGAUUAUGAUGCCACUGUGGCUAUGGAAUAAAAUGAAACUAUCAGGACUCAAUUGGGGUUGAAUAUGCUAUCUUGGCUUCCUAAACUCCAUGAUCUAACCAUUAAACCAACAAGCUACCUCUCUGAUCUCAAUGCAAAUUAUUAAACCCAGAGAUGGAAAAGAGAAGCUAGAGAAUGAGAUGCAAUCUCUGGGGAAGCCCAGGCCCCAGCUCAACAGGGUCGGUGACAAGAUAGAAAUGAGAGUGACUUUAAGCUGUGCCUCAGGAAUGUGGGCACCUUUGAUUCAAUUCACAAACAUUGAUAGAAAGGAUUAGAGCAAGGUGGCUAAAAUAAAAAUGGAUAGAGGAUUCAAAACCAAUUACCAAAGCAUAAUCUUCCUCAGAUGGGCACGCUAAGAAUAAUUACUCUCCACAAGAAGAAUGUCUGUUCUAGACACAUUACAGAAGCCUGCAUAAUUAAAUGUAGCAUCCCAUCCUCAUUUAUCUUUCCAGCGGCCUGCUUUCAAGGGUCCACCUGUCUUGCCUAGAAAGACACAGAACCUGGCUCCAAACUCCCAAGGGGAUUUGGUGUUGAGAGAACAAAGUUUCAAAAGUAGAAAAUUAUCCUAUAAUUGUGAGGAGACAAUACCACUUGAUAAGCAGCAACCUUUAAGAAUCAAUUUGCUCCUUCUACUUUCCUUCAGGCACCUCUUGAUCCACCCCCUUUCAUACUCACACACACACCCCUCCAGAUAUCCCAUGAGCAUGCCAUGAUAAUUCCUUCCUUCAGGAACUUGUUUUUUCCCCAAUGAAGUCACUUGACUUCUCCUGAGCCUCAGUUUCAAAAUGUGGAAAAUAAAAAUCUCCCUCAGAGGUUUGUGGUGAAGAUCAAAUGAGAUAAUGUUCACAAGUCACGUCACAAAAAAUUCUAAGCACUAUAUAAAUACAUUUAGUGGACUGAUCAUCAAAAGUGAUCUGGCCAGUUUUAAUCCUCCUAUCAUAACUAUAAUGCAUCUUAUAUCUCUAUGCCACUUCUGUGAUCCAUGUUAUAGUAAAUUUGUUAUCUAUUCCCUUUAUUUGAUCAGACUGGUUACAGCACAUUGCUCUAAAUGCAAUAUUUUUUUUAAACCCUUACCUUCCAUCUUUGAGUCAAUACUGUGUAUUGGCUCCAAGGCAGAAGAGUGGUAAGGGCUAAGCAAUGGGGGUUAAGUGACUUGCCCAGGGUCACACAGCUGGGAAGUGUCUGAGGCCAGAUUUGAACCCAGGACCUCCCGUCUCUAGGCCUGGUUCUCAAUCCACUGAGAUACCCAGCUGCCCCCUAAAUGCAGUAUUAUAUCUUUUUUACCUUCCUAUGGCAUAGUAUCCCAAAAGCCUUAAGCCUUAAUGGCUUAAAACCUCACUGAGACUAUUUUAUUUUAAAUGAUGUCCACCAUGCUUCCUAAUAUUCAUCAAUUUCCAUUUAAAUGUAAGUCAUUUUAUAUAUCGUGUUAUUCUUCUGUACAUCUCUGUGUGUGCUUUAAAUACAAAAUAUCCCUCCACUACAAUAUUCUGGUCAUGAGUCAUAUUUCACCAAGUUUUUGUGAUACCUAUGAGGUCAUUUUCAACUUUCUAUGUUAAGAUAUUUAGAUUGAUUUUUCUAUAACCUAUACUCAGAAAAUUGGUACACAGGUCAUGAGUCUAGCUUCUAGCCCACUAUCCAGUUGUUUUAUCUCAUAAAUCACUGGAUUUUUCUACUUUUUUUCAUGUUACAUCAAUAAAUAGGUCUCCUUGAGUUUUACAAGGAAAAUUCUUUCCUGCAAGGAAAAGGAUGAUUAUUCAUGCAAAUAGCCUUCUUUAUUGAUAUCCAGAGGGUCCCUACUUAUCCAUGCAGGGCAAUUAGCAUACCACUAAGAUAGUUUUCUUUCAGACAGACAGAACUUGCCCAAAAUAAAUUCUGCAAAACUUUUAUGAAAGCUAAACUUCUUAAGGCUCUAGCCUAUAAAAAAGUAAAACUUCCUUUACAAUUCAAAUAUACCUACUGUCCUUAAAGUAUAAUUUUAUUUAUAAAAAAUCUUAUUUAUGUGAUACUUUUCAAAAAAAUAUACUUAUUUCAUAUAAGGAGGGAUGUCUAUAUGCCUUUACCCUCAAUUAAUUUCCAAGAAUGGUAAUGUACUUAUAACAACAGAGAAUCUUAGCAUUCUUAUCAUAUUCUAGAAGUUAGGCAAAUUGAUCUAUAGAUCAAGAAGUCUCCAGCCACUGCCAAUACACACCUCUAAUAAACACACUAGCCUCUCUCCCACUAAGAGUAUGCUAAUAGAAAGUAGAGACAUACAAAGUCCCACCUUCUAAGCUAUAAAGGUAGCAUGACUAUAAUUGAGUGUUUCAUUUUUCUCACUUAAAUGAUAUAGAGGAUAACUCUACCAUCUGGGUCCAUUUGCUCAACAAAUGGGAUCCAAUUUCCAGACUAGGGUCCCCAAUUGUAUCCUUCUUUUUUGAUAGAGACUAGAAAUCUAAAGAGAACUCAUGGGGGGAAAAAGAACUAGAAGUGGUUUGGGAUAGUGCCAUCAACUUCUUUCUAAAUUAAAAAAAAAUAAUUCUACAUAAAAAAAAAUGUAAGGAAAAGUUCGAGGGCAUAUGUUUUUAAGAAACAUAUGGAGUUAAGCGCCUAUGUGUUAAUGAGUGGAUAUAAGCUAAGGAUUGUAAAAAAGAAAUGAAUACCACCUCUCAUUAGUGCUGCAUUUGAUGGCAGAGUAAGAGGGAGAAAAUGAGCCACUUUAAAAAGGUCUUUAACGUUGAUGGGUCAAUUUUGGCAAUUACAGGAUUUACUCAUGUAACUCAUUGCACCAUGCUGAAAUGGACCUUUGAAUCAGCAAAUGCAGUCUUCAUUCAGAAGGCAAUAAUAAGGUUAGGAUGAGUUCCAUACAGGGAGGAUGUUAAUUUCUCCUCUUUACAAUACAAGAGAAACUCAAGAAUCCCUUUGCCUUUCCAUAUCCAUAUUGAAAGGCUCCUACUAAACUUUGCAAAAAAACACAUGGAAACAUCAGAGCUAACAAAGAAUGGAUUCAGCCUCUUUCUGCGGUUAGGUUUCUCUCUUGUUAAAAUAUAAGUGGAGUCAAUGCAUCAGUUUUGGGUUCUGGCUUCCUAUGUCCUCCCCUAGUAAAUGUACAGAAUUCUUAAAUAAAAUUCCAAACUGUCCUCAUCUCAAAGAGGUGGUGUCACUUUGAUACACUUUAAUUUAGAGAUGAUGUCACCCAUUCCCAUAUGUCCUUCUUAGUCACAAGGCUCUUAUGCCUAACCAAAAAAUCUCUCUAGCUUUAAAUUGCCUGUUUCCCUUUGUUCUUCAAAAAAAUUAUUCUAAAACCUACCAAGGAAAAUCCUCUUUAAGACCCUUCAUAUCAGCAAUUAAGACAGAGUAUAGGUUAGUCCAGUGCCAUGGAAAGGACACCAGUCAGAGCCAGAUGACCUAAAUCUGAGUUCAGGUUUUACUACUAAGUUCCCCCAAAGACUUUGGAUAACUCACAUUACCUCAGUGCACUGGAUUAGAAUAUUGAGACUUUUAGCUUGAAAAAAACUAGAUUUGAAUUCCUCUGAUAUGUGCUCACUGUGGGACCUUGGGUGAGCCAAUUCACUCCCCUGGGCCUCAGUCUCUUCCUCUAAAAAAGGAAGAUAAUGAUAAUGUUAAUGCCUAGCUCGCAGAAUUGUUGGGAAAUUCAAAUUAGAGAACUUUUCUAAAGUAAUUUUCAAACUACAAAGUGCUAUCUAAUGGUAGUUAUUGUAGUAGUAUUAUAAAAUUGGACUAAAAAUAACCUCAUUAGAGGGUUUCUUUGAGGAUCAAACCAGACAAUAUGUGUCAAAGUGCAAAGUCAACUAAGGAGGAUAUUAUUAUCCACUAGGCUUUCUCUUCCCCAUUUGGCCAACUUUUAAUUCUGUCAGUCUCUCAGUCAGUUCUAAUUUCCAUCUGUUUGAUCAUUUUUGUUCUGAUCUCUGAGCUCCACUUUCUCCUUGUCCUUCUUUAAAUGCCUACCUGAGACCCAAUGUGCCAACAAAGAACUGGUGUUUGCUACUCUCUUAUUAAUCCAUAGAAAAUUAUGAACAGAGAUAUGAAUCAUAAUGGAGGCAGAGGAGCUAACUUCACCCCACCCCAACAGUUCUGCUUCAAUGAUGUCCAUCCUGGCAUCCCAUAGCCCCCACACACAGAGAUAUAGGAAACUUUGAGGAAUAAGUCAGUACCUUUUUGACCCUUAUAGGCAUAAAUUUAAAAGUGGCUUCAGAAGUCAUGUAGUCUAAUCUCUUAAUUUUACAUAAAAGGAAACCUGAGGCCCUGGGAGGUUAAGUGCCUUGACCCAAGUAGAGAUUGGAUUUGAACUCAGAUCCUCUCAUUUCAGAGUCAGUCAGUGGACAUUUCCCAGAACCAGGCUGUCCACCAUAUUAAACUGAAUUAUACUCAACUUAUUGGUCUCUGCAAUAAAAACAAAAUCUUAACUCCUUCCUCAAUACAGGUCAGUCUAGAUUUUUCCCUAAAUGGUACUGAGAUUCCUCAAGAAUUGGUUGAUUCAAGGAACAAAGGGCUCUGAUCAUUAAUAUCAUUUUCUCAUCACUUAAGCACAAAGGAGUAUCAUGAGAGGGGAAGAGGUUGCAGAGAUUUGACCAUUAUGAUCAUGAUAGAUAAUGUAGGAAAGUGAGUUUUGCUUAACUGAGUCAACUUGAGAUGUCCUCAUUUCCUAUCCUUAUUGAAUUUCAUUCUGCUAUUGCCAAAUAAAUCCCAUUUUAUUCAUUGCUGAAUGACUUGAGUAUCUCAUUUUGUUCAACUAUUGAACCUAAACUAUCAGGAUCCAGUGUGAAUCAGUUGGAAAAAAAAAGGAGUAACAGUCAUGUUCCUGAAUGGCCUCUCUUUGAAGUGUCUUUUUACACAUAAGGAUUUCCUCUAUGGAGAGCACUCAGCAUUAAUUGGACUUUAAAUCUGAAGAUUUCUCUCUUUCUCUAACUUCUUUCCCAACCAUUAAGCCAAAUUUGAAUGAAAAGCCCCAAAGGUCAAUACUAGAUAAUUUCUAGUUUCCAGGUAGAUAGUGAUAUUAA